GUGCUCACUUCGGCAGCACAUACACCAGAAUUGGAACGACACAGAGAAGAUUAGCAUGGCCUCUGCGCAAGGAUGACACAAAAAUUCGUGAAGCGUUUAAAAAAAAA
ensembl:snRNA U6 U6 spliceosomal RNA